rnacentral:rRNA from 1 species
CCUACGGGAGGCAGCAGUGGGGAAUAUUGCGCAAUGGGGGAAACCCUGACGCAGCAACGCCGCGUGAGUGAGGAAGGACUUCGGUCUGUAAAGCUCUGUUAAUGAGGAAAAAUGGUAGUUGGUCUAAUAGGCCGAUUAUUUGAUGGUACUCAUAGAGGAAGCACCGGCUAACUUCGUGCCAGCAGCCGCGGUAAUACGAAGGGUGCAAGCGUUGUUCGGAUUUAUUGGGCGUAAAGCGCGCGUAGGCGGACCUGCAAGUAAGAUGUGAAAUCUCGAGGCUCAACCUCGAAACUGCGUCUUAAACUACAGGUCUAGAAUCUCGGAGGGGGAAGGGGAAUUUCGCAUGUAGGGGUAAAAUCCGUAGAUAUGCGAAGGAACACCAGAGGCGAAGGCGCCUUCCUGGACGAGUAUUGACGCUGAGGCGCGAAAGCGUGGGGAUCAAACAGGAUUAGAUACCCUGGUAGUCCACGCUGUAAACGAUGAACACUAGGUAUUGGAGGAUUUGACCCCUUCAGUGCCGUAGCUAACGCGUUAAGUGUUCCGCCUGGGAAGUACGGUCGCAAGACUAAAACUCAAAAGGAAUUGACGG